UUAAAUUGAAGAGUUUGAUCAUGGCUCAGAUUGAACGCUGGCGGCAGGCUUAACACAUGCAAGUCGAACGGUAACGGGUUGAAAGCUUGCUUUCAAUGCUGACGAGUGGCGGACGGGUGAGUAAGGCUUGGGGAUCUGGCUUUUGGAGGGGGAUAACCAUUGGAAACGAUGGCUAAUACCGCAUAGUAUCGAGAGAUGAAAGGGGUGGGAAACCACUUGCCAAGGGAUGAACCCAAGUGAGAUUAGGUAGUUGGUGGGGUAAGGGCCUACCAAGCCGACGAUCUCUAGCUGGUCUGAGAGGAUGGCCAGCCACACUGGGACUGAGACACGGCCCAGACUCCUACGGGAGGCAGCAGUGGGGAAUAUUGCGCAAUGGGGGGAACCCUGACGCAGCCAUGCCGCGUGAAUGAAGAAGGCCUUCGGGUUGUAAAGUUCUUUCGGUGGUGAGGAAGGUUAGGAUGUUAAUAGCAUACUGAUUUGACGUUAGCCACAGAAGAAGCACCGGCUAACUCCGUGCCAGCAGCCGCGGUAAUACGGAGGGUGCGAGCGUUAAUCGGAAUAACUGGGCGUAAAGGGCACGCAGGCGGGACGUUAA
rnacentral:rRNA from 1 species